rnacentral:pre_miRNA from 1 species
UGAUGACGAUGACGAUGAUGAUGAUGAUGACGAUGAUGAUGAUGACGGUAAUGAUAAUGAUAGUAUCUGAAAUUAGAUACAGCUGUUAGCGUAUCAAAAGUAGCUACAUUCAGUACUCGUGUUACAGAUAAUCGUCAUCAUUAUCAUCAUCGUCGUCGUCAUCGUCACCAACAAAA